UACAGGAGGUGGCAAGCGUUGUUCGGAAUUACUGGGCGUAAAGGGCGCGUAGGCGGUCUUGCAAGUCCUGUGUGAAAUCCCUCGGCUCAACUGAGGAACUGCACAGGAAACUGCUUGGCUUGAGUUCGGGAGAGGGAAGCGGAAUUCCGGGUGUAGCGGUGAAAUGACGUAGAUAUCCGGAGGAACACCGGUGGCGAAGGCGGCUCCUGGACCGACACUGACGCUGAGGCGCGAAAGCUAGGGAGCAAACGGGAUUAGAACCCUAG
rnacentral:rRNA from 1 species